CAGUGACUAAUCUCAAGGAAUUUACAAACUAAUGGGGAUAAGGGUGGCCAUUUAUCUAGUUUUAUGCCAAAGAAUUGUUUUCACCUAGUCUUUUCCUUUUAUAAGGCAUUGGACAUCUUCAGUAUGUCGUGUCUUUAUUGUGAGCCCCUAACCUCCCUCCACCUCAGAUCCUGCUGCUAACUCCGACAUCCAGGAAGUGAAAUCCCUGUUCACGGGGAUCUGAAAGGAGAAUGCAGUGGCCCUGGAGCAAAGGGCUAAAAAAAGUAUCAUUGCCAAGGAGAGAUGCCAGGCUCAGGGGUCUGUAUAUGCCAAGGAGGAGCAGGGAUUUGGACCAAUUCAGCAGGCUUCGAACUACAAGUAGGGGAUGUUUGAGAAGUCGAAGGGCCGAGCAGAAUCCCCAAUGUCUUGUAGACUCAACGAG